rnacentral:rRNA from 1 species
UACGUAGGGGGCAAGCGUUGUCCGGAAUUAUUGGGCGUAAAGAGCGUGUAGGCGGCCAGAUAAGUCCGCUGUGAAAUCUCGAGGCUCAACCUCGAGACGUCGGCGGAAACCAUCUGGCUAGAGUCCGGAAGAGGAGAGUGGAAUUCCUGGUGUAGCGGUGAAAUGCGCAGAUAUCAGGAAGAACACCCGUGGCGAAGGCGGCUCUCUGGGACGGUACUGACGCUGAGACGCGAAAGCGUGGGGAGCGAACAGG